UACGUAGGGGGCGAGCGUUGUCCGGAAUUAUUGGGCGUAAAGCGCGCGUAGGCGGCCCGGUAAGUCCGUUGUGAAAGUCAAAGGCUCAACCUUUGAAUGCCGAUGGAUACUGCCGGGCUCGAGUCCGGAAGAGGCGAGUGGAAUUCCUGGUGUAGCGGUGGAAUGCGCAGAUAUCAGGAGGAACACCAAUAGCGAAGGCAGCUCGCUGGGACGGUACUGACGCUAAGGCGCGAAAGCGUGGGGAGCGAACAGG
rnacentral:rRNA from 1 species